GCGAGAGUGUGUGUGUCAUUCCUCACACACACGCAUACACAUACAUAUACAACUACAUACAACUACAUACACAUACAACUACAUACAAACACGUGUGUGUUUGUUAUUAGUAAAAAAGGCGCAAAAACACAACUCACUUAUCAUUCCAACACAUUUGCAAAGACACACGGAGGACAGAAAAGGUAAAUUGGUUUUUAUUUUACUCUGUAUAUAUUUUAUUAUAUAAUAUUAUAUAUAGAUAUAUGUAUACAUAAUUGCAGUAUGAAACAGUGUUUAUGUAUAAACAGACGACACUUAUAUAUAGUUACCAAGCCGCCCGAAUUUACCUAUUCAUAUUUAAAUGAGAAUAUCAGAGCAAAUCUCUUUAGUACAUUCGUGAAAACACGUAUUAUACUUCGUAAACACUUCAACUACAGUUUUGUACAAAAAUCGAAGUGUAAUUUUAAUUCCGUGAAUUAUGGGAGAUUUUUUUCCGAAAUUUGUUCCUAUUGUGUUUUCAAAAUUUGUAAUUCUGACAAAAAAUGGAUACGAAUUUCAUUAUAUCAAGCAGCGAGUCAGAAUUCGAAGGAUUUUCUACUGAAGACCUUCAUAAAUCUAACUCUAUGACUGAAAAAAAAAAAGCAUCUUUAUAUAAGAGUGAAGUUGUGUGUCUGUCUCCUACGAUUUCGAUUCCUAACUACUCCCACAUUUUGCGGUGCAGUUUAACCAAAAGCGGGUAUCUUAUAGUCGUGAUUCAUAUCGAGCCCUUCUGGGUAUUAGCGUGCGUCUACGAUGAGUCUACGAUUUAAAAAAAAUUUACCAUCAUAUUUUUCCAUUUUAAUGCAUUUUUUUCGCUUUUAUAUAAGGGAAGUAACUCUCUAAAAAUAUCUACGAUGUGUCAACGAUUUAAAAAAUAUUUACCUUAAUUUUUUUUCAAUUUUUAAUGCAUUUUUUGGCUAUAACUCUCUAAAAAUGCUUAUAUAGUUAUUUCCCUUACAACCCGAGCAACGCCGGGCGAUACUGCUAGUGCUUAAUAAAAUUAAAAUGGUUUUAAACUUUUUGAAGUUGUUCAACACUGGCAAAGAAAGAAAAAUUAUAUAACUGCAAAUUCUAUCACAUGCAGGAUGAGGAGGUGAUAACUGAGUUGUCUAAGACAGGUUCUAGAGCUAGCCAACAUUAUAAGGGGCUAGUAUUGACAGAAGGAAUGAAGGAAAGGCAUUAGCAGACUAGGACGGAGAGGAAUCCUGAGAGAGUCAUUGAGGAAAAUAGAGGUGUUGGGAUCAUAGUAGGGGUAGGUCAGAUAGGGAAAGAUGAGAAGUGGUGUUCAGAGUGCAGAAAAGUAUUAUGUGUUAGUAUAUAUGUGUGCAUGCCCACCAAUAUUUUUUUUCACUUUAAAUUAUAAUAUAGUCAUAAUUUACACCUUCUGAAAGGUAUUUGUAGAAAAUUUCAUCACUAAAUAUCCAUUUUUCUGAAAGUUACAUUGAAAUAAAGUUGGAGGGAGGGGGCACACUUGUGUAGGUAUGCCAUCAGUUGUAUAAAGAAGUGUUGAGUACUCACAGUGAAUGAUACCUAAGAAAGAAAGAGACCCAGGAAAACAUGAUCUAAAGUAUUGAAGACUGCCUUCAAUAAAAUGAACUUCAUGAAGUAGGAUUGCAACAAGAAGUAACAAGUAAGAAAUACUAGAGGGAUUAGUCCACCUAUGCAAUCAUGACAAACUAGACAUUAUAAUGGGGGUGAUGAGGAAUUCUCACUCAUUAUAUUCCUGUGAAGGCCCUAUUUAACACCUUGCCCAUCUUUUUUGUUAUCCUCUCAUCUAUCACAAGUCCUCCUUACUUUAUCACACUAUAUGUAACAAGGGAUAGCAUUGAAUUUGUCUAUAUUCAAUUCCCUCUACUAUCACUUCUUUAUUGCUAGCCAUCACUCUCUUGCUCCCUCCCUGAUUACUCCCUCAUCACUCAUUACUAAUGUCCAUCACAUUCUAUCUCUUACCUGCACAUGGUCUUAUUGCUACUCAUUUGUUCUCUCUCAUUUACACAUUAUUUCUCUUUCUAUUGCAGAGCCUGUGAAAGACAUGGAUACUGCUCCUUUCUCAAGACCUAUAAAGCUGGAAAAAAUUGUGUUAAAACAGUGAUCAGAAAAUCCCCACGGCUAAAGGUGUAUGAAUGCAACUAAAAGAAAAACUAGGCUAGUGAGGCCCCUACUACUUAGUGGGAAGAAUCGCAUUAGUAUAGUUGCUACACUAGUGGCAGGGAUUUUACUUGCCUUGUUGCUCUAUUAGUAACAGGGAUUUCAUUUUGGAUAGCUGCUGUCUUAGUAGCUAAUAUUUCAUGUGUUUAUUUAAUUUUGUAGAAGCUGGAAUCUCAUUUUACUAGUUACUGACUUAUUAGAAUGGAACACAUUUACAUACUAUAGUUACUCUCUUAGAGGCAAAGAUCUCUGUUGUUAGUUGUGUUAUUAUUAGCAGUGAUCAGAUUUCUGUUAAUACUUUCUUAGUAGCAAGGACCUUGAAAAGUUGCUGCUUUGUUAGCUGGGAUUUCAUUGAGAGACUGUAGUAUAAUUAGUAAAGUGACUACCUACUUGCCUUCUUAUCUACCUACCUAUGCACACACACACACACACACACACACACACACACACACACACACACAUAUAUGUAUGUACAUACAUACAUUCUCAAAGGAUAUAGGGUUGGAGUUUGGUCAGGAUAAAUGUUGUUAUAUGGUUGUGAAAAGAGGAAAAACUGUAAACCAGACUAGCAACAUCUUCAAUGACUUAACUGUUUUCUCUGUAUCUGACUAGGAAUGUUACAAGUACAUUGGGGUGGAUAAAAACAUAUCUUACGAUGGCACCUGUAACAAGACACAUGUCACUAAAGAAUAUUACAGCCGAAUAAAGAAAAUAUGGACCUCAGAACUCUCUGCUUUCAUUAAAACAGUGGCCCACAAUGUGUUUGCAGUACCAGUACUCAUACCAACGUUUGGGCUACUUGACUGGAUGCUUGAUGAGAUCUGAGCCAUUGAUGUGAAAAUCUGGAAGAUACUAACCAGCAUACAUAAUUUCCAUAUCAACAGUGAUGUAGACUACCACUACCUAAAACAAAAAUGGCCAGUGGGUGGUUAACAUCAACCCAAAUUGCCUUUGAAUGUCAUAUCAUAUCCCUUCAACAGCAUAGUAACAUUGAUCAUCAAAGAAGUCUAUCAUGGACCAACAAACAGAUUACUGUCUCCCACUUUGAAGGGUAUAUGUUUGCAAUCCAGGAAGAGGAAAUAUUAGCUAAAUGCAGACUUCAUGGAGUUAGCACUGAAGAUAUCACCCACAUCAUAAGCAGUUGCCUGAAAAUGUCAUCACAGUAUUAUCUACCAAUAAGACAUGAUGUUGUGGUUAAGACACUGUAUGAGAUCCAUUGGAAGAAUAAACCUGACGUCAAAGAAAUAAUAACCCACAGUAUGAUGGAAGCUAUAGCCACUCGUAAUAAGAAGGAGUACUGGUGGAAUGUCCCAGUGAAAACCUCAAUAAAGUGUAGAUAUAAUAGACCAGACAUAAUGAUUUGGGAUACAGUUAUUGAAGUCAGCAUACAGUUAUUGAAGUCAGCUGCCCAGUUAUUGAAGCCAGUUAUUGCAUACAGUUAUUGAAGUCAGCUGCCCAGCAGAUAAAGCUAAAGAUCAGUGAAAAAGAAAAUAACCUAUGCUAAACUAUUGAGAAAUCUACAGUUACUCUACCCAGAUUACAAGUUCAGGUUUAUACCUGUAAUUAUUGGGGCACUGGGAUAUGUAACACAUAACCUAAGUACCAAUCUUGAGAAAUUAGGCUUCUCAGAACCAGAAAGGAGAAGGCUGAUUCGAAGACCACAGAUCCAAGCCUUCACUGGAACUGUAAAAAUCUGUAAAACUUUCCAGAAGUUUAUCAUUUAAAUAUAUAUGAGCAUGCCUAGAUAUGCAACUAUAUGCAUGAGAAUGCAUACAUAAAACAAAACAUACAAAUCUGCACAUAUACAUACAAAUAUACAUACAUACUCUAUUGAUGUUGAAAUUCCAAUGAAGGAGCCUUGGGUUUCUAAUUGGCUCUUUCUCUAUUCGCAUGAAAUUUUGAAAUAAAACUAAAUAACAACAUACAUACAUGUCUAUCUCUAUGUAUGUAUGCCACAUGGUAUAGAAAGGUAUAUCAAAGACUGCUGUAGCAACAACAUCAUCAGCCACUGCAAAAACAAAGAUGCACAAGAGAGAAGAUACUACAUAUAAACAUAAAAGCAUGAAAGUGCAAUCGAAUGGAACUAUCCAGAAUGUGUGCAGAGUGAUGAAAUUAUCUUGUAUGCAUUCAAUGAGUGUGCAGUCAUUAUUAAACUGUGGAGUCACGUCAAAUAGCUGUCACCAUGUGCAAGAUAGACCCAGCUAUAACCUGAGUCCAUUGCAGAGAUCACCCAUUGCAUAAAUCUCCUUUAACUAUGAAGGAUAGAAGGUUUUUGGCUGUCAGGUGACUAUGAUAAAAGAGGUUGUGUGAUAGACAAGGCUAGGGAAACUGAAGACAGGCACAUCCUUUUCAGUCAAGCCAUCAAUGACUUUUCAAAGUUCCUCUCAGAAAGAAAGGUGAGGAUGGAGUAGGCGGUUCCUUUUUCCAGUAAAUUUGUUAAAAAGUAGAGGACAGUAGCAAAAAAUAACCACAAUGAAUGGGUCUACUCUCAGCAUGUGAUUAAGGGUCAGAGAAUGACAGCUGGAAGAGAGCACUUGUCCUUGGUAAACAAAGUAACCUUGGAUCUGUAGAGCCACUCAAGAAUGAAUACAUCUCUUUUUUUCUCAUCCUUAUCCUAUUUUAUGUAAACCUCUGUACUAUGUAUAAUAUAACCUCUCCUUGUACUUCCCCUUUAAUCCAAUGCCCUUCAGCAAAUAAAAAGAAAUCAUCAUCGUCGUUGUCAUCAUCAUCAUUAUCAUCACCAUUGUUAAGGUGGUGGCAAGCUUGCAGAAUCAUUUGAGCAUCGGAAAAAAUGUCUUGCAGUAUUUGUUCUGGUUCUGAGUUCAAAUUAACUUUGCCUUUCAUACUUUCAGAGCCAAUAAAGUACCAAUCUACCACUGAAGUUGAUGAUAACAUCUUUCAAAAUUGUUAGCCUUGUGUCUAAAUUAGAAGCAAUUAUUAUUAAGGCAGCCAGCAGCAGAAUCAUUAGAAUGCCAGGCAAAAUGCUCAGUGGUAUUUUGCUCAUCGCUACAUUCUGAGUUCAAAUUCCACCAAGAUUGGCUUCACUUUUUGUAAACAACUUUGAGUUGUUCAUGAAUAGCAAAUGGUUCAAUUUUCUCUUACCUCUCCCCAAGUCAUACUCCAACUUUGUUUUUUGUAGUAUUUCACUCACAAGGAUCAUCCCCAGCACAAAGAUCAGUGGGGACACACUAUCCCCCUGGAAGACACCUCUCCUAAUACUUGAUUCCUUGCUGUCAAUAAGUUUCCACAUUAGUGGAAGACAUGAUAUUGGUCAAAAAAUGGAUGCAACACUUCCCUUUUCAGGAUCCUUGGCACAUUAUAAUGUCUUCCCCUUUGUCAUCCAGCUGAGUACUGCGCCUUCCUACAAGCAUUCAUCUAGCUGUUUCACUAUCCUUUCAUGGAGCCCUCUCAGUUUCUUCAUCCAAUAACCCUGGACCCUGUCCAGUCCUGGACUCUUCCAAUUAGGGAAUUUUCUUAACUGCUUUUUUAUCAUUUCUAUAGUUAUUUUUAUGUCUUCUUGGCCUUCUAUAUUACUUAAUCUAUCUUGGAUUUCAUGCAGCUACUCUGCUUCAUCAUUAUGCUCUACAGGUUAGUCCCAGAUCCCUCCCAGAAUGCCUUGCUUUCCUCUGCAUCUGGUUUCAUUGUUAUGUGUAAUUGCCCAUCAAGUUCUUGAAACAGUUUCUUCUGAUUAACUUCAAAUAAUCUGUUUUUGCCUAAAUUGUUUCAUUCUAUUGUCGCAUCUUUCCAGUUUUGCUUUGAUUACUACUGCUCUUUGUUUCAUUUCUUCCAAUAUCAUCUCAUACCCUUUAUCUCUUAUUCUAUAUGUUCUUUCUAGUAUUAUUCUUAUGCUUUCGCUCUGCAAUUACCCCUUACUCAAUCUAUCAACUUGUCCUAAAUGUCUUUUUAACUUUGUUCCCCACAAAUCCAUCUACACCAGUAUGGUUCUUUAUGUUCUGUUUGUUUUCUUCCUUUGUAUCUAACUCUAUCUGCAGCAACUAUAGCUGCAGCCCAAAUAAUCUUGUUAGUUUCAGUUAUAUUUCUCAUGUCUGGAAUAGCCCAAGGACCAACUCUAUCUUUUUGGUUUCAACUUUGAGUUUACAUCAAUCAAUGUACUGCAGAUUGAGGGGUGCACAAUCCUGGUCUUCUCUAAUAUAUCGGCAUAGCAACCUCUCUAUGUCUUGUUGGUCAUCAUCAUAUUCUUGUGAUAUAGCUCUUCUCAUUACUUCUGCUUCAUUUUCUGAGAAUGAAUUUACAUUUACACUUUGCUCUACAUCUUCACUGCCGCAAUUCAUUUCUCUGUCCUUGCUGGGUAUAUUAGGUUGUCAGGAAAGUUCUUGCAGAAUUUUUAAUUUUGGUUUUAAAUUAUGUAUUUUCAAAUUAAUUCUCGUUAAAUUACUUUGACUUUAUAUAUCAUUUUAAAACCCGUUUUUCGCUCUAUCUAAUCGUGUUACUCUUUUUCUUUUUGAACAAUUAGGCCAUUUUUUUCUGGAACGUUGAAUACAACAUGGACAAAAAGCAAAUUCGCACAAUUUUCUUAUUCCAGUUCAAGCUAGUCAGAAAAGCUGUUGAAACAGCUUGCAAUAUCAACAAUGCAUUUGGCCCAGGAACCACUAAUGAAUGUACAGUACAAUGGUGAUUCAAGAAAUUUCGUAGUGGUGACAAGAGUCUUGAAAAUGAUAAGUGUAGUGGUCGGCCACUAUGCUUAACUAAGAGCCACUACGAUCAACUAAGAGCCUUAGUGGAACCCAAUCCAUGCAUAACUGUUCGAGAGCUUGCUUUUGAAUUAGACAUAACCUAUAUGACAAUUUCCAACCACUUGAAAGAGACUGGAGAAACAAAAAUACUUGAGAAAUGGGUACCGCACAAAUUGAAUAACAACCAAAAAAACGCCGUUUUGAAGUGUUAUCUUCCCUUCUUUUACACAACAAGAAUGACCUGUUUCUUGACCGGAUUGUGACGUGAUGAAAAGUGGAUUCUUUACGACAACCGGCAAUGCUCAGCUCAGUGGUUGGAUGCCGAUGAAGCUCCACGGCACUUCCCGAAGCCAAAGUUGCACCAAAAGGAGGCCAUGGUGACUGUUUGGUGGUCUGUGGUUGGCCUCAUCCAUCACAGCUUUUUGGAUCCAGGGGAAACCAUUACAGUGGAGAAGUACUGUUAGCAAAUGGAUGAAAUGCAAAGAAAAUCCGACAACAGCCAGCGUUGGUCAAUAGAAAAGGACCAAUUCUUCUCCACAACAAUGCUCGGCCACACAUCGCACAGCUGAUCCUGCAGAAGUUGAACGAAUUAGGCUACGAAACUCUGCCUCAUCCGCCCUACUCACCAGAUCUCUCGCUUACUGACUACCACUUUUUCAAGCAUCUCAACAACUUCCUGCGUGAGAAAUGCUUCAAAAACCAAGACGAUGCCAAACACACUUUCAACGACUUCAUCACCACCAGAAUGCAGGGUUUUUACACUACUGGCAUGAAUAAACUUGUUUUGCAUUGGCAAAAGUGUGCUGAUUCUGAUGGUGUUUAUUUUGAUUAAUAAAGUUUUGUUUGAGCCAAGAUAUGUGCAUCUGAAUUUAAAGGUUAAAAACUGCAAGAACUUUCUUGAUAACCUAAUAUUAUCUGUUGGUGAAGUAUUAUUUGUAUUUUCUACAUUCCUUUUUAUCUCUUUAAUUUCCAUGCCUGUUAAGCACCCUUUUGCUCUUAUUGUUCUUGCCUGGUCGGCUAGCCGUUGCUCACUUAUUUCGAAGAGUCCCGUUUCAUUCCAUUUUGCUUUCAUGCAUUGUUGGAAUCCCCUUCUACUGGGUUCACUCCUGAUCAAGCAUUCAAUUACCAUUCGGUUUGCCUCCUUCUUCUCUACCUCUGACUUUGUGUAUAAGCAGUCUCUGGAUAAAGACCAAGCCUGCGUUGCUCAACCACAGGGCACCUGCUAGGCUUUCACCUUUGGUUCCAGCCUCAUUAACACCAUUAUUUGAUACAUUUGUAUUAGAAAUUUUCACUCAACAUUGAGGUAUGUGUUUUAAGGUUAGCCACCAGCUGGUAUUUUUAUUGACAUACCAUCUCUAGUAAGAUUGUCAACUAAGACUGCAGAGCUCUUAUUACCCAUAAGUUGGGCCUGUUCCCAUUGCAUUUCUGUGUGUUGUGGACCAUGAUCAUGAAUCUCAUUAGGAGAUAGGUGAAUGUCAGUUGGUCUUUAUCUUCAUCCAAAUAUAGCUCCAGAGUUAAGUCAUGAUUCAUUCACGUUCAUCUCAGGCAUGGAGCCAUUGGAUACUGACAGGUUGACAUCACUGACUAAGGAGUCCUAUCUACCCCAGUUUUAAAUCAGAAUGUUCCUUCUCCUAGACAGACUGCCAACCAAGGCUCACGAGUUCUGUCUACCCUUUUCGGAAUGGCCAUUGACUCUUCUGAGUUCCUCUGCCUUUUUUUUUAUCACCAUCACCAUCACCACCAUCAUCAUCAUCAUCAUCAUCAUCAUCAUCAUCAUCAUCAUCAUCAUUCAUUUGUUUUUCACUUUUUAUUGUUCAGUUAUGAAUAUCCACUCUUUAAUCAUGAAAUUAUCAUCAAGUGACCUUUUCACUAAUACCUCACAUAGUUAUGCUUUAUAUAUUGUCAGUUCUUAGAUGUUGGUUUGAAUCAUUUAUUCAUUUAUCCAUUUGUUUUUAUUACUAUUAUAUCUCAUUGUGGCACUAGUGUUCUUUGAAUUGGUAGAUUUGAAUUUAACAAAAUUUGAAGUGUAGGUGUAGGUGAAUCUCCUCUGUCACACAUACACACACAAUAAAUACAUAUUUUUUUUCAUUUCAAAUUCAUAUUCAAGUUCACUUUAUCGUCUUUUUCCUGCUUUUAUUUCAAGCUUAUAUUCAAUUUAGUAUUAUUUCAAUUGUCUGUUGUUUAAUUAUACAUCUAUUUGGGCACUAUCUACCAAUUUAACUGAAGGUGAUAGAUAGAUAGAUAGAUAGAUAGAUAGAUAGAUAGAUAGAUAGAUAGAUAGAUAGAUAGACAGAUAGACAGAUAGACAGACAGACAGACAGACUGACAGACAGACAGACAGACAGACAGACAGAUACACACACAUACAUGCAUACACACAAACAUACAUACAUACAUGCAGGCAUACAUGGAUACAUAUAUAAGUAUAUACUAGUGAUUGCUCCAUCUUCAUACAUGAUUGCUGUCUCUCUGGAUGAAAUCUUACUGGAUGAAAUCGUUGGAAGGUAAUUUCCAAAGUUAUAUGUACAUUUUUUGUGUCUUACUACUUCAAAACGGUACAUUGUAGUGGGGUGGACUAUUUCCAUUUUCAGACUCCCCAUAUCUCAAAGCAUAUAUAAUACUACACUUUUCACGGAAAACAGGGGAUGGUGGAACACUCGGAAAUCCACCCCCCACAACCUUGGUGGCAUGAACUGCAUGCCCUAGCAUCCUAGUCACCCUCUGUUACUGAUACAUACAUACAUGCAUGCAUGCAUACAUACAUAUAUACAUGCAUGCAUACAAAUAUACAUACAUGCAUGCAUGCAUACACAGAGGUACCCAGAAGUAAUGAGAAACACUCUCUGUAGGACAAGCCCAUUGUAGUUCAGGCUUCUGCUACUAGAAGCCACUCGAUGCAACCCUCAGGCAUCUACUGACUGGUAUUGUCAAGUAAAGUCAUACUGCCACAUGGUACAUCUUUGUUUUGCAGUGCUUCUCCCCUAUUUGUCAAUUUUCGCAAUGGCUGAAAUGAAGGGACAGCGUGUCUCCAUGAAAUUCCGUUUUCUGCUGGGGAAAACAGUGGCCGAAACAGUUGUCAUGCUUCAAACAUCCUACAAGAAUGCUACCGUGAGCAAAACACAAGUUUAUGAGUGGUUUUCAUGUUUUAGGAAUGAUCACUUGUCACUUGAAGACCAACUUCAUUCAGGACAACUCUCAACCUCCCAAACAAAUGAAAACAUCAUGAAAACUCAUGAACUGAUCUUGGAGGAACAUCGCCAAACAAUUGAUGAGAUUUGAGUGAGGAAUUGGGAAUGAAAAGUGUUGAAGCAAAAUGUACGUCUUGCUCGCUCAAGGAAGAUCAAAAGCAGUUAUGACUGAAAGCUUGUCAUGAACUGAAAGAACGAUUGGAAGUUGAUCAGAACCAUUUUUCAAAGGUCAUCAUGGGCGACAUAACUGGUGCUGAAAACGAAGCAGCAUUCAAUGUCAUCACACUCCCAAAAAGUGUGUCAAGUGAAAUCCAAUGUCAAAACAAUGCUGAUUUGUUUCAUCCAUGUGAAAGGAAUUUUCUCCACAAAUUUUGUUUCUCUUAGUUAAACUGUUAACGAGACUCUUUACUUGGCAAUUCUGAAGCAUUUGCAAGACGCAAUGAGAUGAAAACACCCCAACCAGUGGCAAAGUGGAGAGUGGUGGUUUCAUCACAACAAUGCACCUUUGCACACUACCUUGCAUGUAAAACAGUUUUUGACCAAAAAUGGCAUUACUCAGCUUACCCACCCUCUCUAUUUAUCCAAUCUUGCUCUCUACAACGUAUUUUUUUCUUUUGUUCUUCUGAAUGAAAAAGUCCUUAAAGGAAAACAUUUUGCAGAUGUGGAAGAGGUGAAGUCAAAAACAACAGAGGCAUUAAAAGGCAUCACUUGACAAGAGUUCCAGGACUUCUUCGAACAAUGAAAAACACAUCAAGACUGAUAAAUUGCUUCAAAUGGGAAAUAUUUUGAAGGCAAUAAAAGUGUAAACAUGUAAAGCCAAGUGAAUAAGAUAAUAUUGCAAAAUUCCAGUUUCUUUUGGGUACCCACUUGUACAUACAUACAUACACACACACAUAUACAAACACGAAAAUGUAUGUUUAGUUUGUUGAUGUAUGUGAAGAAAGGUCAAUGUUUGGUAAUAUAGAUAUUGUUUAAUAUUUACAUGUUAAUUGUUGACAAGAGAACAUUCAGCAAAAUCAAUAUAGAUGUAUAGAGUUUCACAGUCAUAAGUCUUGACAUCUUAAAUGUACACUGAAAUUCAGACCAUCAAAUUAGAUAGGUGUAUCUAAAACAGAAACAGGCAUUACAGUGUGGUUAAGAAGUUCACUAAUAUAGUCACAUGGUUCUGCAUCCAAUCCCACAAUGUGAUACCUUGAGUACAUGUCUUCUAAUGUUUCAAGUUGAUCAAUGACUUAUGAGUGAAAUUUGGUAGAGUUAAACUGUAUGGAGGUUCAUCAGAUGUGUGUGUGUGUGUGUGUAUUAUUUGCAAACAACUUGCAGAUGCAAGUGUUACCAGUUGAAAGCUCCACAUACUGAACACUAGCAGUCUCAUAGAGUCAUGAAGAGAGAAUGCACAUCAUCUUAAAGUCUUCCUCUUGGCGAUAUUAUUGCACACUGGCCCCACUUGUUAGAUCAACUGGUUUCUAGACUUCCAGUAGCUUGCCUUCUCCACUGUAGCCUGGAUAUCACUCAUGGUGGUAUUUACUUAAUGAUGAGUUAGAUCUGACAACAACAAUCAUUGCCUUGCACUGUUUCCAAUGAAUCUUCUACAUCCAACUUCGAUUGGAUAAUGCUCUGCUUUCUAGUCUAUGUCUUCACAUUACUUGUGAUGUUUGUAACUGUCAAUCUUUUGAGUAUAAGCAGUGUCCAUGUUAUCCUCAUGAGAAACUGUUAACUUGACCAGAUUUACUACUUUCUUUUUCUCACAUAAUAUUAUAAUAUCUGGUUUUUUCAUCACUGGAAUGGGGUAGAAUCCUUGGCACCCUGGUAAAUCUACAGCCACCUCUCGAUAGACAUUCCACUUUUCAUCGUUCACAGCAUGUUUCUUCUUCAAAUAGAUCUGCUGUUCUGGAUGCAUGAAAAUAAUGAACUCUCUGGCUGGUUUCUUCUGUGAUUUUUUUGAAACUGUUGGUUAAGGCAUCAUAGGAUGAAUGAAUAAAAAAACUCAGACAUGAUGUACUCCACUUCCAUAUUUCAUUCCAUCUUAUUUUUUUCUCAAUUAUGUGUUUCUCCCAUCUUGUUAUUUAUCCUUGUUGAGAACAUCAAAUCAAAUGAGGUCCUCUUUUCCUUGUUUCCCUUGUCUUGAUAUUGCUACUAACAACAAAUCUGUGUUUGCACUGCAUCUUGCUUUCAAAUGGCCCAAACUGAUCUAAACCAAAUCCAAGCUGUUUCCAAUCAAUUUGUAUGGCACCCACCAUAUCUCAGUGUGUAAGUGUAGGCAGGAUGUCAUCAGUUUCUGCUUCUGCUUUCCACUUGGCUGUUUUUACAUCUGAUAAAUUAUGCCUUAUUUCCCUACCCUUCAACUCUCUUAGCAUCAUCACUGUUCGUACCUUCCCUACUUUAUACAUGUGUGCAUGCAAGUAAUAAACUGAUAAAUUGGUGUUGCAAAUAAAAAAUAUCUUGCAUUUGUUCCAUUUGAUUUGCUCAGAUACUGCCUCAACACUCUCAUCAUGAUAACUCACCAGCAUACAAUAUCCUGUCUCAGUUCCUUCCAUUGUUAAUACAUUGGUUCCUACUCCAUUUAACUAUCAAGAUAUGAACCAUACAUCUCAUCUACCACUUAACACACUUAAAGGCACUCAUCUCCAAAGUUUGAAAAUAGAAGUUUUUUUCCCCUCAGAAUUGCAAUUCUCUGUACAUGUUUUUUUUUUCCUGCAGAAUUCAACCUACAUAAAUGCAAGCUAAUCAUAAAUCACAUCACCGUCACCAGACUGGAAGGACUUACAAAGGUCAUAUGUACACUCUUCCUAUCUCAAACUAUAACUGAAAAGGUAAAAACUAUAUUUUUCAUUCAAUUGGCUUGUAAGUAUGACAAAGGUUCAUUUAGGACACUGAAACACUCUGUAUUGAACAUAAUUUGGUGAAUUUGAUUGUUGGUUGUAUAGCAUAAAUGUCAUAUCAUCAUUGCUAUCAUC
rnacentral:lncRNA from 1 species